AUACGUAGGGAGCGAGCGUUGUCCGGAAUUACUGGGCGUAAAGGGUGCGUAGGCGGCAUGGCAAGUCAGAUGUGAAAUCCCCGGGCUUAACUCGGGUGGUGCAUUUGAAACUGGGAAACUUGAGUGCAGGAGAGGAGAGUGGAAUUCCUAGUGUAGCGGUGAAAUGCGUAGAUAUUAGGAGGAACACCAGUUGCGAAGGCGGCUCUCUGGACUGUAACUGACACUGAGGCACGAAAGCGUGGGGAGC
rnacentral:rRNA from 1 species